AACGAUGUNUACUAGUUGUCGGGGAUUAAUUUCCUUGGUAACGCAGCUAACGCGUGAAGUAGACCGCCUGGGGAGUACGGUCGCAAGAUUAAAACUCAAAGGAAUUGACGGGGACCCGCACAAGCGGUGGAUGAUGUGGAUUAAUUCGAUGCAACGCGAAAAACCUUACNUACGCUUGACAUGUCCGGAACCCUGAAGAGAUUUGGGGGUGCUCGAAAGAGAGCCGGAACACAGGUGCUGCAAGGCUGUCGUCAGCUCGUGUCGUGAGAUGUUGGGUUAAGUCCCGCAACGAGCGCAACCCUUAUCAUUAGUUGCUACGCAAGGGCACUCUAAUGAGACUGCCGGUGACAAACCGGAGGAAGGUGGGGAUGACGUCAAGUCCUCAUGGCCCUUAUGUGUAGGGCUUCACACGUCAUACAAUGGUCGGUACAGAGGGUUGCGAAGCCGCGAGGUGGAGCCAAUCCCAAAAAACCGAUCGUAGUCCGGAUUGCAGUCUGCAACUCGACUGCAUGAAGUCGGAAUCGCUAGUAAUCGCGGAUCAGCAUGCCGCGGUGAAUACGUUCCCGGGUCUUGUACACACCGCCCGUCACACCAUGGGAGUGGGUUUUACCAGA
rnacentral:rRNA from 1 species